rnacentral:rRNA from 1 species
GACGAACGCUGGCGGCGUGCUUAACACAUGCAAGUCGAACGGAAAGGCCCUGCUUUUGUGGGGUGCUCGAGUGGCGAACGGGUGAGUAACACGUGAGUAACCUGUCCUUGACUUUGGGAUAACUUCAGGAAACUGGGGCUAAUACCGGAUAGGAGCUCCUGCUGCAUGGUGGGGGUUGGAAAGUUUCGGCGGUUGGGGAUGGACUCGCGGCUUAUCAGCUUGUUGGUGGGGUAGUGGCUUACCAAGGCUUUGACGGGCAGCCGGCCUGAGAGGGUGACCGGCCACAUUGGGACUGAGAUACGGCCCAGACUCCUACGGGAGGCAGCAGUGGGGAAUAUUGCACAAUGGGCGGAAGCCUGAUGCAGCAACGCCGCGUGCGGGAUGACGGCCUUCGGGUUGUAAACCGCUUUCGCCUGUGACGAAGCGUGAGUGGCGGUAAUGGGUAAAGAAGCACCGGCUAACUACGUG